ACUUAGCAGAGAUGCUUUGGUGCCUUCGGGAACUCUGAGACAGGUGCUGCAUGGCUGUCGUCAGCUCGUGUCGUGAGAUGUUGGGUUAAGUCCCGCAACGAGCGCAACCCCCGUCCUUAGUUGCUACCAUUUAGUUGAGCACUCUAAGGAGACUGCCGGUGAUAAGCCGCGAGGAAGGUGGGGAUGACGUCAAGUCCUCAUGGCCCUUACGGGAUGGGCUACACACGUGCUACAAUGGCGGUGACAAUGGGCAGCGAAAGAG
rnacentral:rRNA from 1 species